CUGUUUCAGAGUCCUCUACUCAAUCUUUUGCAACAGAUGUUCGCCAAGUGACCAACCUUAGUGGCUCAAAGGCAACAGUGGAUUUGCCAGACUUUGAUGGCCCUGUUACAGGCAUGGAAACCUCUGCAGAUAUGAACAUGGAGGAAGUGGAUGAGGAUAUGAUUGUGGAGGAUGCAGAUGAGUAUUCAGCUCAACCUUGGAUGAAGCC